rnacentral:lncRNA from 1 species
AAGAAUGUCGUAUAAACUGAGUCAUGGAGUAGGUAGCCCUUGGUAUCCUGCUUCUUUCAGCUAGCAUAAUGCAUGUGAGAUCCAUUCAUGCUGUUGUGCAAAACAGUAGUUUGUUUCUUUUUAUUGCUGAGUAAGGAUUUUAUUGUAUGGAAUGUACCAGUUUGUUUAUCCAUUCUCCAGUUGAGAAACAUUUGGGUAGUUUUUAGUUCCUGGUGAUGACAGAUAAAGCUGCUGCAAACAUUCAUGUGCAUAUUUUCGUGAGGAUGUAGUUUUCAUUUCACUUGAGUAAAUGCAAAGCAGUGAGAUUGCUGGGUCAUACACAAACACCAAAAUCCUAGUUUCGCCAUGAACACUGAAAUUAUGAACUACUUCAAAAUAAUAGCUUCCGUGGUGACCAGAGCAACAAAUUUUACUAGGUUUGCCUUGAAGAUUUGAAAUAUCCACAGCACCUACGUGAAUUUGCUGUGGUGCCCCAGGCUCUACCUCACUGCACAGUUUGGAAACCACAGCUUUCAGUUGUCUUCUUUUUUUAAAAUUAUUUUUAUUUUUUGAGAUGGAGUCUUGCUCUGUCAACCAGGCUGGAGUGCAGUGGCGCGAUCUCCACCUGCUGGGUUCAAGCAAUUCUUGUGCCUCAGCCUUCCAAGUAGCUGGGGUUACAGGAGCCCACCGCAACGCCUGGUUAAUUUUUGUAUUUUUAGUAGAGACUGGGUUUUGCCCUGUCGGCCAGGCUAGUCUCGAACUCCUGUCCUCAAGUGAUCCACCCACCUCAGCCUCCCAAAGUGCUGGGAUUACAAUGUGAGCUACCGUGCCCAGCCUCAGUUGUCUUCUGACUCUGAGAAGUUAAGAUUCAACUGAUUUUUAAACUUGAGGUUUGAAAUUCCUUACUAUCCACUUUUGGGACCCACUGCACUAUCAGAGAAAAGCAAGAGUAUCAGAAACACAGGUGACUGUGGAUGGAAGAGCAGUAAGCAGUUGAAGUACUUUGCUGUUUUUCCCGUAGGGGAGGACAAAUGGAUUCCUGAGGUGCAGGGCAAUCAACAGAUGAGAUCCAAGAGUCAGAACCCUGGAAUGGACCACCAGAACUUUCCCAUGGAGCCCCAGGACUUCUUCCCCCAAUUCCUGCUGUUUCUCCUCCUCCCUGUAGCAGGCUUCUUAAAGCAGGUAGUUUGACCUGCUGAGCAUCACAUUGCAUAAAACAAUGCCGGAAGACUUGAGCAAUGGUGACUUACCAAGACAGCUGGCUGCCUAUGUUUAUGGCAUUUGGAAUCCACCGGGAACACAUACAUUUGUCACAGUGUGUUCCCGAAAUAAAUGAGGCUGUCUCCCAACUGGCCCCAUAUAAUCAACGCAGCCCAGCCCCACAUAGCUACUCCAAUGAAUAAUGCUUUGUUUGCCAAAUGCAAUGGGAACCUACCACAGGCCAGGGUGCUUCCAACAACAACAACAACAAGAAACUAAAGACAGUAAGGGAGAAAGAGUGGGUAUAAGCACUUAUCAAUACAUCAGACUGGAAACUCCUAGAAUGGAAUUAUUAGAUGCAUGUAUUAUUUGGGAGCAUUAUGACCAGGAAUAUUAAUAAAACUGUGAAUAGUAUGUAUUCUUUUCAUAAUUUUGACUUAGGGAAGAGGGCAAAAAAAUAACUGUAGCUAGUUUUAGACAUCCAUAAACAAAAUUCUGUAUUACUUUCAGGUAAGACAAGAGCAAUGACAACACAGCACCACAAGCCUUGCCUGGGGUAGAGAGAUAUUAUACAAGGGAAACUGUUUAUUUGUUAGAGAAUCAUACUCAUAAUUCCCUUAAGAGUCUCUUAAUUAAUUCCCCUAAUUAGAACUUUAAUGGGUCUCCCUUUUCAUUUUCUAACAUCUUACACUGGCUACAUCAUUGAAAUAGAAUGAAAAGAAUAAACCUCUCUGCUAUUUUUUUUUAAGGUUGGC